CAGUCGGACGAUAACGUACCUUCGGGGACUGGAGAGGGGCACAGGGGUGAGUAUGGCGUGUGGACCUAACUCUGACUGGGGGAUAGGGGUUGGAAGGGACCGCCCGGAUUGCAAACGCCCUUCCGGGGAAGGAUUUAUCGCGGGAACAUGGACCCUUGUUGUAUUGGAUGUGUGGAGAUGUAAUGACUUACCUGGUGGGGUAUCCGCUUAUGGUUGGAAAGGAUGAUCACUGGUCUGGGACUGAAACACGGCCCUCACUCCUACGGGAGGGCCCGAAGGGGAAUAUUGGACAAUGGGGGCGACCCUGAUCCAACGGUGCCGCGCGAGUGAAGAAGGUGUUCGGGGUGUGAGCUCUUUUUCGGGUUGUAAAGAUGAUUGUAACAUCAGGAGAAGCCCCGGCUAAUUUCGUGCCAGGCUUGCGGUAAUACGAAAGGGGCUACCGUUGUUCUGAUUUACUGGGCGUAAAGGGCACGCAGAGGGGUCUUGCCUGUCUCGGGUGAAAGCCCGGGGCUCAACCCCGGAACUGCCUCUGAUACUGCAUGACUAGAGACUAGGGCUUAGGUGGUGGAAUUCCCAUUGUACUGGUGAAAUUCGUAGAUGUUGGAGAGGAACACCAAUUUCCUAAUGCGGCCACCUGGACUAUAUCUGACGCUCAGGUGCGAAAGCGUGAGGGAGCA
rnacentral:rRNA from 1 species